GAUGAACGCUGGCGGCGUGCCUAAUACAUGCAAGUCGAGCGAACGGACGAGAAGCUUGCUUCUCUGAUGUUAGCGGCGGACGGGUGAGUAACACGUGGAUAACCUACCUAUAAGACUGGGAUAACUUCGGGAAACCGGAGCUAAUACCGGAUAAUAUUUUGAACCGCAUGGUUCAAAAGUGAAAGACGGUCUUGCUGUCACUUAUAGAUGGAUCCGCGCUGCAUUAGCUAGUUGGUAAGGUAACGGCUUACCAAGGCAACGAUGCAUAGCCGACCUGAGAGGGUGAUCGGCCACACUGGAACUGAGACACGGUCCAGACUCCUACGGGAGGCAGCAGUAGGGAAUCUUCCGCAAUGGGCGAAAGCCUGACGGAGCAACGCCGCGUGAGUGAUGAAGGUCUUCGGAUCGUAAAACUCUGUUAUUAGGGAAGAACAUAUGUGUAAGUAACUGUGCACAUCUUGACGGUACCUAAUCAGAAAGCCACGGCUAACUACGUGCCAGCAGCCGCGGUAAUACGUAGGUGGCAAGCGUUAUCCGGAAUUAUUGGGCGUAAAGCGCGCGUAGGCGGUUUUUUAAGUCUGAUGUGAAAGCCCACGGCUCAACCGUGGAGGGUCAUUGGAAACUGGAAAACUUGAGUGCAGAAGAGGAAAGUGGAAUUCCAUGUGUAGCGGUGAAAUGCGCAGAGAUAUGGAGGAACACCAGUGGCGAAGGCGACUUUCUGGUCUGUAACUGACGCUGAUGUGCGAAAGCGUGGGGAUCAAACAGGAUUAGAUACCCUGGUAGUCCACGCCGUAAACGAUGAGUGCUAAGUGUUAGGGGGUUUCCGCCCCUUAGUGCUGCAGCUAACGCAUUAAGCACUCCGCCUGGGGAGUACGACCGCAAGGUUGAAACUCAAAGGAAUUGACAGGGACCCGCACAAGCGGUGGAGCAUGUGGUUUAAUUCGAAGCAACGCGAAGAACCUUACCAAAUCUUGACAUCCUUUGACAACUCUAGAGAUAGAGCUUUCCCCUUCGGGGGACAAAGUGACAGGUGGUGCAUGGUUGUCGUCAGCUCGUGUCGUGAGAUGUUGGGUUAAGUCCCGCAACGAGCGCAACCCUUAAGCUUAGUUGCCAUCAUUAAGUUGGGCACUCUAAGUUGACUGCCGGUGACAAACCGGAGGAAGGUGGGGAUGACGUCAAAUCAUCAUGCCCCUUAUGAUUUGGGCUACACACGUGCUACAAUGGGCAAUACAAAGGGCAGCGAAACCGCGAGGUCAAGCAAAUCCCAUAAAGUUGUUCUCAGUUCGGAUUGUAGUCUGCAACUCGACUACAUGAAGCUGGAAUCGCUAGUAAUCGUAGAUCAGCAUGCUACGGUGAAUACGUUCCCGGGUCU
rnacentral:rRNA from 1 species